GCAAACGACGGACGAAACAUUUGUGGCCUCAAAUCCCACGCCUCAGUACUGCGGCUAGAGGAAAGCCGACAUGGGGAUCAGAAAGACGGGGCUCCUCACCCGACUGUAUCCGGGCCGGCCCUCGAGGAAACAGCGUCCGGAGAGGCAGCAUGUCUGCGAUGUUUAGAUGUCAACUAACUUUAAUUAGGGGAAGCCGCACACCGCCCCCAAACGACCAAACCAAAGCGUGAAGCCAGCGGCCGCUCGACUGUACUGGUCAUUUCGCAGGAACGAUCAGCCCGCCCUCCAGCCUCCCCGGGGAAGAGCUGGGAUCACUUUAGGGGGUUGCAGCUUGCCAAUUCUGCAAUGAAGUGCUUAGAUCAGAACUUCGAGUGGGACCCUGUUUACUGGACAGCGUUGCAAUCGGAUGACACCAUGGCGGGGCAGCCUGGGACCUCAUUCGUGGCUUGCAAACAUCUGUGCUCUCUGCUUUCCCCCUGCAGCGUUUCACUUCCAUUAAAAGUGGAGCCUCAAAUCUCCCUUGUGCAUCCAUGCCUGCGUACUGGGUGACUUCCAGUCGAAGGGUCAAUAAAUAUAAUUAAAAGGCUCACUCAA